CUAUAAUCACAUUGCACACUUUUCCUCACAUGUAAAGGGCAACAUCGUGUCUGUUCUUUUUAUCUUAAAUUCUAAGACGGCCGCAGACUUUUGAAGGUGGAGCUACAACAAAAGCACAUGGCUAUGUGGCAUUUGAGCGAAGUACUGGUUAUAAUAAACAUGAACAGUCGCCAGGUUUGAAGGACUUAGCAAGUAUUACAUUUUCAAAACAGAACGGUCUCUCAGUCCACCAAGCGUCCACAUACAAAGCGAAGGAAUUAUCUACAGAAUUCUGUAGAAUAACUAAACCUUAAGUACUCCUACAGUAGGACCUACUACUUUGACUGACGAAGUAAAGUGAGAGCAGGCGACGUAAACAAAAGUGCUAACAAUAUUGACCAACAGUUGCUGUUUAUAAGGUUUAAUCGCGGUGUCUCAACAAGGAAAUACGUCCAGUGGAAUUACUGUUCACCUUUGCGUAUAUCUUUCCAAAUCUUAUUAGAUCGAAGAAAGGCGCCCGGCAUGGCAAACUUUAAUGACAACAACGAAUCCUGUAGAUUCACAAGUCAACUACAAGGCUACCUUUCAGGCCAGUUGCGGCAGCUGGUGGAUCCAAAGCAGAUGUUUUCAGAAUUUAUUAAGAACAAGUUGAAGAGUUUUAUGCAAAAAACAAAGUCUUUUAUUUUAGAUUCUAAGGGUUUAGUUUCAGAAUUGUAGCUUGUUAUUAUAUCUAACAAUAAUAUUUUAUUACAGCUAAUUUGAUUAAUCUGUAUACUGUAAUACAACAUGAUUUUGGUGUACUUUGGUUUAGGGAAUACAUAUCAAAUGUAUUUUUGUAUUUCCUGACAGAGAGAUUAAUGUGUUAAUAGACUGUCUUAACAUUGUUUGGAAAAACAUUAUUUUUUUGUUUUAUUUUUUCAAAGAAGUCAAAUGGUUUCUGUGGUGGCUGAUAUGGUGCCAAGAUUUAUGGAAACAUUAUGGUGGCACAGUUGGAAAAUAUGUAUGUUUAUUGUGACCCCUGUUUGUUAAAACAAAAUGUUUGUUUUAUUGAUGACGUUUUUAUGUAGUAAAGGUCUGGAAUAUUUACAAAAAAUAAGUUAUAAUCAUGUUAAUUCUAGUACAGCUGCUUUAAGAUUCAGUUUUUAAAUCAUUCAGUCGGUGUUAUUUUGCCGGAUGUUAAAAGUUCAAAAUCCCUGAUUAACAUUAUUUUUAUACUAGGAUUUGUUGUAAAAAGUGACCAGGAACUCAUACUUGCAAUCUAAAAUAUACAACCCCCAUAAAAGGAAUGUCAUAAAAGAUUGGAUGGUUAGGACUAGUAGGCCAUUUGGGGUAGAAUAAUUAUUUCAUGAAGAGAUGACAUUGGUGAAACAGAAGUUCCUAGCCAGAGGCUACCCUACAUGGAUGGUUUUAGAAUAUGUAAAAAAAGACUUGGAUGGCAGAGACACUGAAUAUCGUCUAGGAGUCAGAAAAGAGGUUGUUGGCCAUGUAACGUAUGGGCAGACACGCACUGAAGAUAUCAGUUUGAGUUUAUAUGUAAUUGCACGUAACUGUAAAUGACUAAGUCAAUGCUAAUAUUAAGGGGGACGUGGAGAUAGUCCACUUUUUGCGAGCAAGAAAACUUUCAACAUCAAAGGUGGACAAAUUCUGGCAUUUUUUUAUGUUGGCAGAACCAAAUUUACUUUAAAGAAAAGAAUAUAUGAGGACACCCAUGCUAAUGCAGUAAGGGGUGAAAAGUGUUCCUUGUAAACACUUGUUGAAUUGUACAAAUUUUAAGUUGUUUGGUUACAUACUUUAGAUGAGGCAAAGUUACUAUCAGAGAAGGGUAUUUAAUCAUGAAUUAAAUUGCAGUGAAUACAACUGGCAAAUCCUACUGAAUGCUUCAGUUUAUUGAGAUCUUAAUGAUCAUAAUUACUUCAAGACAAUUUUGAGAAAGAAGACUGUUAAGCUCCAUUAAAGUGCAUUGCAAACA